UCCAUACAACAAUACAUCUGAACUACCAAAAGUUAAACAAGAAACAAGGAUUAGAUACCCUUCUAUCCUAGACCUAAACUAAUCAAGAAGUAAUAUUAAAUAAAAACUUAAUCAGAAUGGCAGUAAGAAAUCCACCGGAGAAGGCUGUACCAUAAUCGACAAUCCUCGCUAACUACCCCCUAACCUAACAUUUUAUAUAUCGCCAUUGAAAUCUUACUUAAGGUAGAAUUAAUCUAAGAUCUAAACUCAGUCAACAGGUCAAGAUAUAAAUCAUGGUUAGGUGAGAUAUUGCCUGCAAAUAUCAACAAUUAAUUAAACUAACCAUUAUCCAACAGUUUAAAUUAGGAUCCGACUGUAACCAUGUCUACUUAUAACAUUAUGACCUGCCAAAUUCCUUAUGCACUCCCCCCGCGCGU
rnacentral:rRNA from 1 species